rnacentral:sRNA from 1 species
AUUAAUUAAUAAAAAUAUAUUAUUCAUGUUGAGUUCCCGGUGUGACUGUAUUUGAUGAUACCCCUAAGAGGUAAUGUGGGUUAAAUGGGCUCAUAGGACUGACUACCUUAUAAAGGGAAAACCAGGCUGCACCUGAUUUUGGACACACACACACACACACACACACACACACACACACACCCGCCUCCAGAUCUUCAAGAGUACAGGUUUCUGUUGUGUAAGCCAUCUGAUCUGGAACAUGGUAUUUCGCUAUAGCCAUCCACACUGUUAAAGGCAGGGGAUAUUCUUACCGUUCUUGCUUGCUUGUUUCUGUGUGGUGAAUAUGAAUUACCUUAUUACUUAAGGAACAAUAAACGUGAGCUCUUUAUCCUUUUGGCUUCACCGUGCUGACAGGGUGAGACAUAAUUCUCUGAGUCUCCUUCGAGAUCAGUGUCUGGGCAGGUGAGGUAAGGUUGCAUCGACAAUCCUUCUCCACAGAGUGAAACUCUGAUGUUUCCUGUGCCCCGGAUGUCCAGAGGUAGGCUUGUAACCCUUUACCCCAAGCCUCACGGGUAACUCGUAACUUACUCUGAACCAUGUUUGUGUUUAAAUCACAUGUCUGAAUGUGUGAGUGGUGCAGGAGCACUCAGGAAGCUGAGGCAGAAGAGUCAUGAAUUGGAGAUCAACCUGAGCUACAAAGUGAGCCCUCACCUCCAACACACAAGCCAGCAACUUCUAAAAGCAAGUGAGCAUUCCCUAUAUAUUCUGCCAGCUCAGUCAGUUACUGAAUCGGAAUUGCUACUGCACUUUUUGACAAAGACCUUGGGGUACUGUGAUGAUUCGUGGGCAUCGGGUAUGUCUGUCCAUCCAGAAGACGUUUAUCUGUGCCUGAAGCGUGAGAGGCAUUGAGCCAAACCCAAGGAGAGCAGCGUUGAAUACAAUAUUCAGAUCUGCUGUCGGCGAGGACGGUCCACUGGGGAGCUAGACAAGUUCACAAGCAUUAUCCACAGCACUCCGAGGGCACAGAGGCUGGACCAGUGUCUCCCUCUGAGACUAUCCAUCACACCUCCAAGACACAAGGCCUUCCGAGACUAGAGGGAAACUUCUGGAAAAUGAGCCAAGGAUCACCUACCUGAUGCAGGCUCCCUCCUCGACACCCAAAUCCCACUCUCUUGUUGCUAGGGAGCAAUCGGGUGGUUUGGGUGUGUAUUUGUACACUUAAGUGAACACGCAUAUGAAGGUCAAAGAUCAGUGUUCAGUGUCUUCCUUCAACCUUCUCCACCUUGUAUUUUGAAACAAGCUCCCUUGCUGAACCUGGAGCUCACCAACUCAGCUAGACUGUCUGACCAGUGAGCCCCAGGGGUUCUCCUGUCUGUACCUCCACAGCAUCACCCAAAAAAUAAGUGGGUGUCUUGGAGGUUUGAUGGAUAGUGUCAGAAGGAGGCGCUGGUCUAGCCUCUACUCAAUACUCACUGGAAGAAGAGCUCAGCAGAAGCAGGGCAGAGAACUCCUAGCUUUUACACAGGUGCUGGGGUCUGAAUUCAAGAGCUCGUGUUUGCGUGGCAAGCAACCUUAUUGGUUUAACCAAACUCCUGGUCCCCUUUUGAUCCAUGUAGCCCAGGCUCUCUAAGUCAUCAAGGGCAACCUCGCACACCCAAUCUUCCUGUGGCCUUGUUCAACUUAGGUUACAGACUGUUCAGUGUGGCUCCCAAGACCCUCUGUAAACACUAGCAGCCCAACUGAGGACCCAGCCCAUCUCUCCAAGCUCCUUUCUACCCUCCCUGCUGGCUUUCCCUAACUCCUUCUCUGUCUCUUCCACAUAUCAUCGGACUGAAGACACUGAGAAGAGGAUUCUAUCGAGAUCCCUGUGCUCUGUUUGCUUAAUAGCAGGGUAAGGAUCUACAGGGACAAAAGCCUUCUGCCCACUUUCCUACCAGACAGAACCAGAGGAUGCCUUUGUUCUCAUCUUCCUGGAAGCAGACCAGAGGAGUCUACAUUAGCAAGCCUUCCUAAAGCAUGGUGUGCCUGUAAUCACCACACUCGGGACGCUGAAGGAGGAAUGUCCGAGUCAGGGUUUAGUCUGGGCUAUAUCAAGGAGUCUCGUCCCAAAGGGCACAGAGAGCAAUCAGCCUCACCAACCAGCUGUUGCAGGCCUCUUAUUUGCCCAUUUCUAUCCCCAGGCUGACAGCGUGAGCGGCUCAAUGUCCUUCCCCUUUGUCCUGUGAUGUCUCCAGAAUUGGGGAGUUGAAGAUGGUGUGUAAUUUGCAAUUGUAAGACAUCUCUUUAGGAACGGCUUAUUUUCCCGGUGGCUCUGAUGUCUGUGUGAACUCUGCACGUUAACGAACUUAUGGGUCCCCCCGCCACCCCACUUUGUGAAUCUGCCUCUUGUCAAAGGCGGUUCAUCAAGCUAAGGCCUAUGGGAGUUAUUCUCUGACACCUUGGGGGCACUGUGACUUUCUUCCCCUUGGCCAACAUCUGCAGCGUCAGCUUUCUUCUUUCAGAGCUCCCUACACUACUCCCCCUUCCCCUCAGCACUCUGCAACCACCUCAGUCACCCCACAUCCUUGGUGAGGAUAAACAUUUCCCUACUGGGAUUAGA